rnacentral:rRNA from 1 species
UCUCAGUCAGUGGCGAACGGGUGAGUAAUGCAUCGGAACGUAUCCGCAAGUGGGGGACAACCCGGCGAAAGCCGGGCUUAAUACCGCAUAUUGCUCGCAAGAGGAAAGUGGGGGACCCGCAAGGGCCUCACGCUUACGGCGCGGCCGAUGUCCGAUUAGCUAGUUGGUGGGGUAAAGGCCUACCAAGGCUGCGAUCGGUAGCUGGUCUGAGAGGUUGAUCAGACCACACUGGGACUGAGCCCCGGCCCAGACUCCUACGGGAGGCAGCAGUGGGGAAUUUUGGACAAUGGGGGCAACCCUGAUCCAGCCAUGCCGCGUGCGGGAAGAAGGCCUUCGGGUUGUAAACCGCUUUUGGCCGGGAAGAAAAGGGCGGGGCGAACAGUCCUGCUUCUUGGCG